rnacentral:SRP_RNA from 1 species
GCCGGGCGCAGUGGCUUACGCCUGUAAUCCCAGCACUUUGGGAGGCUGAGGCGGGUGGAUCACCUGAGGUCAGGAUUUAGAGACCAGCCUGACCAACAUGGUGAAACCCCGUCUCUA